GAUGAACGCUAGCGACAGGCUUAACACAUGCAAGUCGAGGGGCAGCGGGGGCGUAGCAAUAUGCCUGCCGGCGACCGGCGCACGGGUGAGUAACACGUAUGUAACCUGCCCUAUGCAGGGGGAUAACCCGGAGAAAUCCGGCCUAAUACCGCGUAAUACCUUAGGGGAGCAUUCUCUUGAGGUUAAAGGAGAGAUCCGGCAUAGGAUGGACAUGCGUCGCAUUAGGUAGACGGCGGGGUAACGGCCCACCGUGCCGACGAUGCGUAGGGGUUCUGAGAGGAAGGCCCCCCACACUGGUACUGAGACACGGACCAGACUCCUACGGGAGGCAGCAGUGAGGAAUAUUGGUCAAUGGCCGAGAGGCUGAACCAGCCAAGUCGCGUGAGGGAAGAAUGUCCUAAGGAUUGUAAACCUCUUUUGUCGGGGAGCAAAAAGGCUCUGCGGAGUCGUAUUGAGAGUACCCGAAGAAAAAGCAUCGGCUAACUCCGUGCCAGCAGCCGCGGUAAUACGGAGGAUGCGAGCGUUAUCCGGAUUUAUUGGGUUUAAAGGGUGCGCAGGCGGCGUGUCAAGCAAGCGGUAAAAUAGCGGGGCUCAACCCCGUCGAGCCGUUUGAACUGGCGCGCUUGAGUUCAGGCGAGGUAGGCGGAAUUCGUGGUGUAGCGGUGAAAUGUAUAGAUAUCACGAAGAACUCCGAUUGCGAAGGCAGCUUACCAGUCUGCGACUGACGCUCAGGCACGAAAGUGUGGGUAUCGAACAGGAUUAGAUACCCUGGUAGUCCACACAGUAAACGAUGAGCGCUAGGUGUCCGGGUCGAAUGAGGCUUGGGUGCCCGAGCGAAAGCGUUAAGCGCUCCACCUGGGGAGUACGCCGGCAACGGUGAAACUCAAAGGAAUUGACGGGGGCCCGCACAAGCGGAGGAACAUGUGGUUUAAUUCGAUGAUACGCGAGGAACCUUACCCGGGCUCAAACGACUCAGGAAUAUAUUGGAAACGAUGUAGCCAGCAAUGGUCUGAGUCGAGGUGCUGCAUGGUUGUCGUCAGCUCGUGCCGU
rnacentral:rRNA from 1 species